rnacentral:lncRNA from 1 species
CGAGACGGUGGCUCAAAGUACUGUUAGCUAAUUUAUUGAUUUGUUAUGAGAUAAAAAUAUUAUUGAAUAACAAAUAAUUUCAAGCGACCACAACUUGCAAUAGGGCAUCAUGCAUGCUGCCAUACUGCACCUAACCUCUCGAGGGUGAAAUGAAUUGGCCCGUUCUGAACUGCUGCCCACCAUCCCUGGGCUGAUGCAGUAUGUAGACGCGUACGGUAUAAUCUGAUCCCACGGACGGCCUCUCUAACCAACUUCUCCAAUGCCAA